GAACAUUUUACUGCAGUCCCACGAGAAGGGGAGGUAACAUCCAUUCUCACCGCCCUCUUUGACCAUAUAUGGACUGUCUGGCGGUUCUACAUCCACCCGGCAAAAGUGGACACGAGACAUCGGUGUGCUCCAGAGACCAGUAAUUCAUUUUCUAGGCUUUCACAACCAUGCCAUCCGACUUAGCCAAGAAGAAGGCAGCGAAGAAGAAGGAGGCUGCCAAAGGUCGCGGGCGUACCAAGAAAACUGAUGGACUAGAGGAUGGUGAUCAACCAGAGACCCAGUCUAAUGGAGCACAGAGCAAUGGGAUUGCCAGUUUAACAAAGGAGCUGGAUGAAUUUGAACUGGCAAAGACCGAGGCGCGGGCUGUGACAGGUGUUCUGUCGUCACACCCCAACAGCACUGAUGUCCACGUUAGCAGCCUGUCGCUCACCUUCCAUGGUCAAGAACUGCUUUCAGACACCAGCUUGGAGCUCAACUCAGGCAGACGCUAUGGACUCAUUGGCCUGAAUGGCACAGGAAAAUCCAUGUUGCUGUCUGCCAUUGGGGCUCGUGAGAUCCCCAUUCCAGAGCACAUCGAUAUUUACCACUUGACCCGGGAGAUGGCCCCCAGCGAAAAGACUGCUCUGUACUGCGUCAUGGAGGUGGAUGAACAGAGGAUUAUGCUGGAGAAGGAGGCAGAGAGACUUGCCUCUGAGGACUCCGAGUGUGAGAAGCUGAUGGAGCUGUACGAGCGUCUCGAGGAGUUGGACGCAGCCAAGGCAGAGGUGCGGGCGUCUCGGAUCCUCCACGGUUUGGGUUUCACACCUGAAAUGCAGCAGAAGCAACUGAAGGACUUCAGCGGAGGAUGGAGGAUGCGAGUUGCUCUGGCCAGAGCCCUGUUCAUCAAACCAUUCAUGCUGUUGCUGGAUGAGCCCACCAACCACUUGGAUCUGGACGCUUGUGUGUGGUUGGAGGAGGAGCUCAGUUCGUUCAAGCGAAUCCUUGUGCUUGUCUCACACUCCCAAGACUUCCUGAACGGUGUGUGCACAAACAUAAUCAACCUGCACUUGAAAAAGCUGAAGAACUACACGGGUAACUAUGACCAGUAUAUCAAGACCAGAGAGGAGCUGGAAGAGCACCAGAUGAAGCGCUUCAACUGGGAACAGGACCAGAUCACACACAUGAAGAAUUACAUUGCCAGGUUUGGUCACGGCUCUGCAAAGCUUGCUCGACAGGCUCAGAGCAAAGAGAAGACGCUGCAGAAGAUGGUGGCCUCAGGCUUGACUGAAAAAGUUGUGAAUGACAAGACUCUGUCAUUCGUUUUUCCUCCCUGUGGGAAGAUUCCUCCUCCUGUUAUCAUGGUUCAGAAUGUGAGCUUCAAAUACAGUGACGAUGCACCGCACAUAUACACAAACCUGGAGUUUGGUAUUGACUUGGAUACACGAGUGGCUCUCGUGGGGCCCAAUGGAGCAGGAAAGUCUACACUGCUGAAGCUGCUGAUGGGAGAGCUACUUCCCACCGAUGGCAUGAUCCGUAAAAAUUCUCACGUGAAGAUUGGCAGAUAUCACCAGCAUCUGACAGAGCAGCUGGAGCUGGACCUGUCUCCUUUGGAGUACAUGAUGAAAUGUUACCCUGGUAUCAAAGAGAAAGAGGAGAUGAGGAAGAUCAUUGGUCGCUACGGGCUGACAGGGCAAACAGCAGGUCAGUCCGAUCAGGAACUUGUCAGAUGGUCAGAAGUGCCGGGUGUGUUUUGCCUGGCUGGCCUGGCAGACCCCUCACAUGCUGUUCCUUGACGAGCCCACCAAUCACUUGGAUAUCGAGACGAUCGACGCGUUGGCAGAAGCCAUCAACGAGUUUGACGGCGGCAUGAUGCUAGUUAGCCACGACUUCAGGCUAAUUCAGCAGGUGGCUAAAGAGAUCUGGGUGUGUGAGCACCAAAAAAUCACAAAGUGGAAUAGGGACAUCCUGGCCUACAAGGAGCACUUGAAAAAGAAGAUCGACAAAUCAGCGCAUGACAUCUAAAGAAAGGUCCCUCAGAGCCACUCCUUUUAUCUCAUCAUGGAUUAACCUGCCAGCUCCUGAAGGAAUGAGCAGGGUUUACAUUGGAAGCAAAUGUCAUAAACUAGAACUGAAACUAUCUCUUAUGCAUCUUAUUGGACAUGUCUCUUGUACAUGUUGUACUGUAAUUCCAUCUCGGUCCAACCACCUUCCCCAUCCCACUGCACUCUGAUUGGCUGAUUCACCUGAAGCAUCUCGGUGCAUUUUGGAAUGCAUUCCAUUGUGCUGUCUUCAUAGAAAAGUUUUAUUUUUCCGAAUGUUCUGUUUUAUCCCAACUUGUAUGCAGCAGCUUUUUAGGUCAUAUCUAAUGAUAUUUAAAAGUUACUUUUUUUUUUUUCCCCUGUGUAAAAGAGCAGUUCGGCCUUAUUUAACGAUGUAAUGCAAUAAAGGUUUGUCUGAAUAAACGGAACAUAAAAACAGUAUAUUCAGCUUCAGAUAAUAUUUUUAUUACACAUAAUGGAUACAGUGCUCGUAUCCAAAAAUCAAAAGCCUUUCGGGAAAAUAAACUAUUUUACAUCUCUGUAAACAUAGGACAGAACUUGAUAGAAGUGAUUAAAAGAAGUUGCUUUGGAUUCUGGCUGCAUAGACUCCACGGUACACUGCUGACCCCGUCCUUCAUGUCACUGGAAAUGUCUGGGCUGUCCAAAAAAUAUUGGCAAAACGAACACUGAUAAGAGAUUAAUCUGCCCUUUUUAAACUUUAAUGAAUCGAAUGCAUUAUUUGGAUGCAUUUUCAGAGUUUUAGGGGACCUCUGGUUUGUAAACAUCAAUACAGGUGAUGACACUGUCAUUAUACACUCUUACAGUCAAGCUGUGUGCAUGUCAAAUAAGAAUGGGAUCAUGUAACGCAGAGGUAUGGCUCGAUUGCCGCCAACACGACGACAAUAUGGUCAGUUUCUCAUUUCAGAGAGGAGAAGAAAAAUGUGUUUUUGAAAUACUGUAUCACACUUGUCUAUUUGAACAGGAAGUGUAUAUAACAUACCGACUCCAACAUUUGUUGUUUAAAAAUAAAACAAAUACAACCAUU